GACGAACGCUGGCGGCGUGCCUAAUACAUGCAAGUUGAGCGCUGAAGGUUGGUACUUGUACCAACUGGAUGAGCAGCGAACGGGUGAGUAACGCGUGGGGAAUCUGCCUUUGAGCGGGGGACAACAUUUGGAAACGAAUGCUAAUACCGCAUAAAAUCUUUAAACACAAGUUUUAAGUUUGAAAGAUGCAAUUGCAUCACUCAAAGAUGAUCCCGCGUUGUAUUAGCUAGUUGGUGAGGUAAAGGCUCACCAAGGCAAUGAUACAUAGCCGACCUGAGAGGGUGAUCGGCCACAUUGGGACUGAGACACGGCCCAAACUCCUACGGGAGGCAGCAGUAGGGAAUCUUCGGCAAUGGACGAAAGUCUGACCGAGCAACGCCGCGUGAGUGAAGAAGGUUUUCGGAUCGUAAAACUCUGUUGGUAGAGAAGAACGUUGGUGAGAGUGGAAAGCUCAUCAAGUGACGGUAACUACCCAGAAAGGGACGGCUAACUACGU
rnacentral:rRNA from 1 species